CAGACGCCAGACCAAUAGGGCCGCCAAAUCUUGAGCUCCGUGCCUCCAAAACCAAGUGGUGAUGUCUGAAAAGGUGGCUGAUUUGCAGUGAAGGCGGGAGAGAGGCUGAAGGACUGAAUGGAAGGACAGCACGGAUGAGAGGACAAAUUAACAAGGACUAGGAACAGAGCCUGGCAUGGAGUAAAUGUUUGAAGCUCCGAAAACUUCCUGAGUUGAGCUGCUGCUUCUUCCCUCCCACCAGA